CCAGGUGAGUAAAAAUUAAAAAGGCGCCUCUAGCCAGGGAACGGAUUCUCACUGGGUGCGGGGCCCUCUUAGGCAAGGGGCCCGAUUCGGGAGAAUUGGCGGAACUGGCCUAAAGCCGGCCCUGGUGGCCAGCAGUGGUGAA